rnacentral:rRNA from 1 species
AGAGUUUGAUCCUGGCUCAGGAUGAACGCUGGCGGCGUGCCUAACACAUUCAAGUCGAACGGAGAGAGGCAGCUUCGGCUGCGUCAAUCAGUGGCGGACGGGUGAGUAACGCGUGAGUAACCUGCCUGUAAGAGGGGGAUAACACCUGGAAACGGGUGCUAAUACCGCAUAAAUCAUAGUUGUCGCAUGGCAGCGAUGUAAAAGAGGAAUUGCUUACAGAUGGACUCGCGUCUGAUUAGAUAGUUGGUAAGGUAACGGCCUACCAAGUCUGCGAUCAGUAGCCGGACUGAGAGGUUGAACGGCCACAUUGGAACUGAGAAACGGUCCAGACUCCUACGGGAGGCAGCAGUGGGGAAUAUUGGGCAAUGGAGGCAACUCUGACCCAGCAACGCCGCGUGAAUGAAGAAGGUCUUCGGAUUGUAAAGUUCUUUAGCGAGGGACGAAAAGAAUGACGGUACCUCGAGAAUAAGCCACGACUAACUACGUGCCAGCAGUCGCGGUAAUACGUAGGUGGCGAGCGUUGUCCGGAAUGACUGGGCGUAAAGGGAGCGUAGGCGGCACAACAAGUUAGGAGUGAAAUACCGUGGCUUAACCACGGAACUGCUUUUAAAACUGUUGAGCUAGAGUGAUGGAGAGGAAAGCGGAAUUCCUAGUGUAGCGGUGGAAUGCGUAGAUAUUAGGAGGAACACCAGUGGCGAAGGCGGCUUACUGGACCAUAACUGACGCUGAGGCACGAAAGCGUGGGGAGCAAACAGGAUUAGAUACCCUGGUAGUCCACGCCGUAAACG